rnacentral:rRNA from 1 species
AGUCGAGCGGAGUUAAUUAGAAGCUUGCUUUUGAUUAACUUAGCGGCGGACGGGUGAGUAACGUGUGGGCAACCUGCCCUGUACUGUGGAAUAAUCACUUGAAAAGGUGACUAAUACCGCAUGUGGUCCUUAGGAGGCAUCUUCUGAGGAAGAAAGGAAAUAUUCGGUACAGGAUGGGCCCGCAUCUGAUUAGCUAGUUGGUGAGAUAACAGCCCACCAAGGCGACGAUCAGUAGCCGACCUGAGAGGGUGAUCGGCCACAUUGGGACUGAGACACGGCCCAAACUCCUACGGGAGGCAGCAGUGGGGAAUAUUGCACAAUGGGGGAAACCCUGAUGCAGCAACGCCGCGUGAAGGAAGACGGUUUUCGGAUUGUAAACUUCUAUCGAUGGGGAAGAAAAGAAUGACGGUACCCAAAUAAGAAGCCCCGGCUAACUACGUGCCAG